GAUGAACGCUGGCGGCGUGCCUAAUACAUGCAAGUCGAGCGAACAGACGAGCAGCUUGCUCCUCUGACGUUAGCGGCGGACGGGUGAGUAACACGUGGAUAACCUACCUAUAAGACUGGGAUAACUUCGGGAAACCGGAGCUAAUACCGGAUAAUAUAUUGAACCGCAUGGUUCAAUAGUGAAAGACGGUUUUGCUGUCACUUAUAGAUGGAUCCGCGCCGCAUUAGCUAGUUGGUAAGGUAACGGCUUACCAAGGCAACGAUGCGUAGCCGACCUGAGAGGGUGACGGGCCACACUGGAACUGAGACACGGCCCAGCCCCCUACGGGGGGCCACAGUGGGAAAUUUUCCGCAAUGGGCGAAAGCCUGACGGAGCAACGCCGGGGGAGGGAUGAAGGCUUUCGGAUCGUAAAACUUUGUUUUGAGGGAAAAACAAAUGGGUAAGUAACUAUGCACGUCUUGACGGUACCUAUGAAGAAAGCCACGGCAAACUACGU
rnacentral:rRNA from 1 species